UGUGUGUGAGGCCUAUUUGUGCAAGCCUUGCCAUUUCCAACUUUCUCUUCUUCCUAUUUUCACUUCUUGUGUUUAUUUUUUUUUUUUCCUCAGCUAUUCCUCCUGCAGCUUCUGCCAAUGUUCCUUCUGGCUCUUCUUUCAUACACUUCCUCUUUGUCAUAAGCCUACACUCCACAGGGCUUCUAUUUUCUCCCUGUCCAUUCAUCUUCUUACCACCUCCUUCUCUCAACUCCAUCCUUAUCUGAACCUAUAGUUCCAUGUGCCUCCCCCCUGCCUAUCCUAUCCUCACUCUCCUCUAGCACAGUAAGGAAUAUGUUAGCCGUGAGGAUGGUGACCCUCCCUCCCUCCCUGCCUCCCCCGUCUCUCAUCCUUUACUCUUUCGCUUGUUUCCUGGAGGCUGCUGUCUUCGGUUUUGAUGAUGUUUACUAGUGGGUAACGAAGGGAGCGACAGGACGCGUGUUUGAUCAAUUACUUCACCAGUUCUCUAAUAACAGGUAGCACAGAGAGGGACAGCAACCAGACGCCGUCACGUCUGGCUUCUUUCUCACCUUCUGUGACACGACAUAGCGAGAGAGGAAGCGAGAGAGAACACAGAGCUCUGGGUGUAAAUGAUGGCAGUGCAGAGACAGAGCUGCAGGGACCACGGUUGAAACAAUAGACUGCAUGUGCCUUGCACAAUGGAUGUGAGGUUGGAAUACAACAUAAAAACAGUAAACGUUAACCUAGAACGUUAGAUUAAUUCAUAACGAGUAAUGUGAGGACUAGUUUAAUGAACUAAAGAAAAAAGCAGUCUUGAAAUUAACGUUCUUCGGAACAGAAUAGUAGGUUAAAUAGGAGCCAUAAUUUACAAAGAAAUAAAUACAGGAAGUCCUCGGUUUAUGAUGUCCUCAACCUAGGAUGUUUCAAUUCAUUAAGAAAGCAUGUUGCAUCAUUUGAACGUACUAUGUUAAAACAAAUUCCACACAGAAACUAGUUGGAGAGCAAAGCGGACGAAUAAUGUCGUACAAAAUUACCUGGACUGCUACUAUAACUUGCGACCUGUUUUUAAGAUUUUAAAGAUGGAAAAAGGAAACACAGCUCCGUGUGUGGCGCGAGCAGAUGGCGUGAAGUGGACAUGUUGGACAGAUGGAUUCAAAUUUCUCCAGCCGCAGCAAGUGACUGCAGGGACAAACCUGAACCACACUGUAGCCGAGCCGAGCAGGCGAGCAUGGGUGGAGGGUCGAGCGCAUCAGCAGUCACAUCCGUAUCAGGACAUGUGGGGUCCAGUCAGAUACCUUGAAUGAGGUGCUGCAGUAGAGUAACCUAGCAACACCAUGUCAGACUCAACAGGUUGUGCACAUGUGCACAUGGACGCAAGAAUAAACAAGAGUGGAUAUGACAAUGUCCUCUGCCUCCUAUUUCAGCUUUUAUCUGUGUGAGUGACGGCUACAGUGAGACAACAGACACGGGGGCUUCAUAUUUCAGGCCAGCAGGAUGUGAUCAAGUGCCAAAAACACAGUAAUUCCUGUUGUGGCAAUGUAAAUAUUUCAUUGUACUUGAUACUUGUAUAAAAUAUAUAAAAUAAAUCAUUACAUAUUAUAUAUAUACUGUUUUAUUUAAACUACCUAAGAUUUCAUAUCAAUAAUAACUACUGCAAUAAUAACAUUAAUAAUAAUUAAAUAAUAAAUAGUGAAUGAAUAUUAUUAAUAAUAUUCUCAUCAUUAAGACGUUCAGCUAUAUUUGUGUGUUUUAAACUCAGCUUGAAAGGAGACGUAUAAAAACGGAGGACAUACAGGCAGAGAGCUGCGGACACGUCCGUCUGUUCAGGUAAAGGGUUGACAAUUAGCGUGUCCUUGCUCCGCUGCAUAAAAAACGAGGCAUUCAACUGUUUCGUUUCACACAGCAGCCGACAGAGUGAUUAACUUUGGUAAUAUUCUCACACAGCAGGAAAGCUUCUCUUUUGGUCUGUAAAUUCUAUUAAACAAGUCUCAUAUCUCCAGUCGAAUAUUUUUUUCUUUUUUUAUAAUUUUCUCUCCAUCAUAUUAAUAUGCUGCUGCUUCUAUUUAAUGUCCUCGAGUCUUACUCUAGAGAGACGGUGUUUACUGCGUAGAAAUAGCACUGAGAUUUUUAUACUGCUUUUAAAAGAAAAAUCAAAGACUAUAAUUUAAGCUUCAGUUGUGAUGCAAAUUGCCUUUAAAGAGAUAGAUUAUAUACUAGCAACAGAGAGGGCAGGUCAUAAUAUCUCAUUUGCAUAAAGACCUCCAGAAAUCUUAGCAUAAUUAUUAGAUGUCAGGAUGCCUGUUCUUUGCUUUUUGCUCGACAGGUGCCAAAAAUAGUUAAUAAGCAGGUGUCAGUCAGCGUCAAUGAGCACAUGUAAGGCUUAAAAAAAAAAAAAAGGAGCAAUUACCCACACAAAACACCCUGAGAGCAGAGCUUGAUGGAAUAGCUCAAAAUAGAACACCUCAUCAUGAGAUAGCUGGAGUGUGUGUGUAAUGAUACAACAGGCUUUGUUUUGAUUUACAUCGGAGACUUUGAUGGUAAAUUAUCAUCAAGUGACACACACCCACCAACAAGUUUUCUAUAACUGCAUGAGUAGCUGAAAGGAAAGAGAAGAACCUUACAACCACGUACAAGAGUCAUACAACUUUUCAAACUAAACAAGUUUAUAAAUUAUAUAGGGCUUAGUUUGCAGUCAAAUAGUUAUGUCGCUAAAGUUACCCUAGCUACUCAUAUAUGAUAUUGUCUGUGAAAAACAUGACAAUAUCAUAUGAUGAGCAGGUGCUGAA